rnacentral:lncRNA from 1 species
UAGGAAACCUACCCUCUGCAGCCUCUUUCUUCUUUUUAGCCUUGAGCUUGAAACAGUCUUCAAUGACAUGAUUGUCCUUUUUACAGUAUCUGCAAAACUUCUUUCCACCAUCACCUGGCACUGCAAAAGCCACGGGAUUGGAUUCACCCUUCUGCACUCCAGAAUGUCCUUUCAACUUUUCUUCAUGCUAUAGUGCAUUGUUGUAAGCAUCAAUCACACUAGGCAGCGGACGCAUCAUUAAUAUCUGAGUUUUUACAACAUCAUACUCAUCAUUGAGUCCUCUCAGAAAACGAAUCAGAUAAUCCGUCUCUUGUUUAGUCUGAAAUGCCACAACUGCUGGGCACGGUAAGGGGUUUCCAGGUGCACAGGUACAUGGGACUAUGGGUGAGAACUGUGAAUAUUCCUCCCAUAACCCUUUUAUCGUGGUAUAGUGCUGAGAGACAGUACGAGUGCCCUGCUUACAAGCGUGGAUUUCAUCCUGCAAGUUGGCUAAACAUAUAGCAUUUCCCACUCCAAAUCGAGUUUUUAGUUCAUCCCACAGAUUUUUAGCUAUCUCAUGAUUCAUAACACUCCUUUUAAUCUCACUAUCAAGUGUAUUAAGAAUCCAACACAGCACAAGGGUAUUACAAGCAUCCCAAGAUAUGAAUCCGCUAUCACUAACAUCAGGUAUUUCUAUAGAUCCAUCGACGAAACCCAGCUUGUGCUUCGUUAUGAAUCCGCUGUCACUAAUAUCAGGUAUUUCUAUAGAUCCAUCGACGAAACCCAGCUUGUGCUUCGUUUUAAGUGCAAAACGCAAAGAUCGAUACCAGAUCUGGUAAUUUGUUCCAUCCAGUACGACAUUAGAUAUAGACUGAGACAGAUUCUCAUUGGGGUUCAAAUAUAGAGGGUUACCAAACUGUAUUGGCGAUGGAUUCCUGCUGACAUUGAUGAUAUCGUCUGUCUCUUCUUCAUCUUCAUUGGGGAAGUUCCCGAAGGUAACUCCCACUGAUCCUCGUCCUCUACCCGCAGAUCUCUGCGACGGUGAAGUAAGAUCGACCAUCGCUCAGUAUGCGACGAUUCUAAGCUCUGAUACCAUGUUAAACUCGAGAAGGAGGGAGUGGAAAUGGCG